rnacentral:rRNA from 1 species
GACGUAGGGCGCGAGCGUUGUCCGGAUUUACUGGGCGUAAAGAGCGCGCAGGCGGUUGGAUAAGUCGAAUGUGAAAGCCCCCGGCUUAACUGGGGAGGGUCAUUCGAUACUGUUCAACUUGAAGGCAGGAGAGGGCAGCAGAAUUCCCGGUGUAGUGGUGAAAUGCGUAGAUAUUCGGAAGAACACCAGUGGCGAAGGCGACUAACUGGACAUGUAUUGACGCUGAGGUGCGAAAGCGUGGGGAGCAAACAGGG